AAACAAUUAAAAAUGAAUAAUUGUUGAAAGAAUGGAGUGUCCAUUAUCCAAAAUCCAAUGUGGGAUUAAAAUUAUCGAUCUAACUAUUAGAUCCAUCCAGUAUCGGAUUGUAUCAUUUAUAACAUCAUAUGUAACGUGAAUAUCUUGAUUAAUGGUUAACUCACGUUUUUCAUUAAUUUAUUAUCUUAUAGUUUAUUUUUAAAAAUAACUGUCUUCUGAGUGUCAGUGAAUGGAUUUAACAAUAACAAAUCAACUUUAUAAUUUUUUGACUCCGAAUGAAGUCAACAAUAAGAUGAUGGUGAUGAAUGGUGCACCAGCUCUUGAUGGUGGCUCUAAUUGUUGAUAAUUAUGGGCUAUAUGAGGUUGAUAUUUCCCAUUCCUCUGUGGUUUAUAUUACAUUAACAAGAUACUUGGUCAUUUUGUUAACUACAACUAUGAAUUGAAUCGUAAUUUUGAUAAAGCUUUAUAACCAAAGGAAAUGUUGAGCCUACUUUUGAGGGUUACUCUUUGUUACAUUUCAAUCCUUUUCAAUUUAUUGUGUUUGCUGUUGAAUACAUUUGGAUGGACUUUUCUGCUCUACAUCUGAUUAACUUUUCUCAUACGCUCAGAAUACAGUGAACAUGAAUGGACCAUGAUGAAAUGAAAACAUCAAGAGGAAAGGCCCAACAUUUUUUUCACCCUAAAUUGGAAUUGAGUAGUGUACAAAACGAAUAAAAGCCAUUUUGGUUUCCCUACUGGACAACGAAUGUUUCCUCUUCUUUUUUUGGACAUUUUCCCUUCUCUUUUCUUGUUUCAACGAUACUCAUCAUAUCUCUCUUUUGAUGGCAAAGUCAUUACCAUUGCUGCUUAGCAAAGUUACAUUUUUGGGACUAAAUGGAUGAAACAAGAUGAAAAAAUGUUAUUCUUCACUCCAAAGCAAACUGUUGGAUUGUUUCUUGGUACAAAAUUUCCGGUUCAUGAAAGAUAAAAAAAUAUUCUUCAUCUCUACAUUACGAUAACAGCAAAGCUGACAUACAAACAAACGAGUAAAAAAGAGGACCCAAAAAAAGCUCUUCUAUUAUAUUCACAUUCAUGUUGAUUUCGGUGCUGCCUUUUCAAUAAAUUACCAGAUGAACAAUUACACUUUGGGUAUCAACAUUUUCCAUGGAUUCAUUAAAAAUCAUGAGCAUGGUCUGGUUGGGUCUGGAAAGACUGGAUAACAUUUGACAUUAUCAUCUUCAUUCUCUGUCAAUGGUUCAAAUUAAAUAUUUUUUUACAUGGAAAAAUUGUUAUACCGAAAAACAAAAGCAGAGAGAACAGAGAAAGCCUAUGAAAGACUCAUGAAAGAUGAAAUUCAGAAUUAAGAUCAAGAUGUUGAUAAUGUUGGAUGAAAAAAAAGCCUUUUGGACACAUUGGACUCAUCAUCUUCCCCAUGCUUAUUAUCUUCAUUAUCACAUUAUAGGAUUCAUCGUAAACUUGUUCAUUGUCAUCAAUGUUCAACUCAUGGGCAAGGUCAAAGAAACACUUUCGGAUGGCAAACUUUUCUUUCGUCUUAAUUGAACCUAAAAUUGUUGAACUGUUUGACUGUUUUUAUUUCCGUUUUACAUUAACCAUGAGUGAAUCAUGAUUUAAAAGCAUUAUCGUCAUCAAAAUCAGCAAAGAUCAACAAUUAAAGGUUAAAGUUAACAGUGUUCAAGCUAGUGAGAAAUAAUUGACUCGAGAUGGCUCAAGAUUGAUUACUUCAAUUAGAUUAUCACAAUUUACCUCUGAUUUAAUGAGUGCGUAUUGGACAGGUUAUCAUCAGAAUAUUUUUCAAUAUCAGUCUUGAAUGUCAUUCAAACUGUUAUGAUAUUAAUAUUAUUGAAAAUGCCAUGAAAAAAUUACAAAAAUCUUUUCGCUAGUUAUUUUUGCUUCAUGCUUUCUGAUUUAAUGUUCAGUCAACUGUAAUUUUUCAUUGUAACACAUUUACAAACAAUCUUUUGUUGUAUUUUAAAUUUUCUUGCCUACAAUUUAGUUAACUUAAGCACAGAGGUUUGCAUAAUCAAACAAUAAUAAUUGCCUCAAUGUUUAACAAUUAAUAAUUAUGAUAAUAAUAGCUUGAUGUAAUGAUAUACAGAGAAAAGGUUAAACAAUUUUUUUGAUGCUAAAAAACUGAUUGAUGUUAUUGUUUGCUCAGUAAAACAUUGUCUUCCCUGAUUGUUGAUGAACGUUAUUGUAUCCUAAUUACCCGAAACUUUCAGGUUAAUCUAUUUCUUAUCUCAUCAUCUUCAAAAAUUGUAAUCAAUGAAUGUUUAAUCGAUAAUCUGAAGCAAGGUAAACACACAGAGGAGUAAAUAAAUCACAGGUUAAUAACAGUAAAGAAUUGCAAGAAUGGGAUGAAUUUUCAAUGUUUACCUUAACAACAAAUAAUCUUAACAGACACGAAAUAAAAAUCUCAAUCUUUA